UACGAAGGGUGCAAGCGUUACUCGGAAUUACUGGGCGUAAAGCGUGCGUAGGUGGUUUGUUAAGUCUGAUGUGAAAGCCCUGGGCUCAACCUGGGAAUUGCAUUGGAUACUGGCAGGCUAGAGUGCGGUAGAGGGUAGUGGAAUUCCCGGUGUAGCAGUGAAAUGCGUAGAUAUGCGGAGGAACACCGAUGGCGAAGGCAAUCCCCUGGGCCUGCACUGACGCUCAUGCACGAAAGCGUGGGGAGCAAACAGG
rnacentral:rRNA from 1 species